rnacentral:rRNA from 1 species
UACAGGGGGUGCAAGCGUUAUUCGGAAUUACUGGGCGUAAAGAGCGUGUAGGCGGUUUGGUAAGUUUGGUGUGAAAGCCCUGGUCUCAAGCCAGGAAGUGCAUUGAAUACUGCCAGACUAGAGUGCAGGAGAGGUCAGCGGAAUUCCAGGUGUAGAGGUGAAAUUCGUAGAUAUCUGGAGGAACAACAGCGGCGAAGGCGGCUGGCUGGACUGUUACUGACGCUAAGGCGCGAAAGCGUGGGGAGCAAACAGG